ACCGCGGUAGCCCAGUUGGUUAGGGCGUCGGCCGGCAGUACUGAUGCCGAAGGUCGCAGGUUCAAAUCCUGCCUGCGGUG